rnacentral:rRNA from 1 species
AGAGUUUGAUUCUGGCUCAGGAUGAACGCUAGCUACAGGCUUAACACAUGCAAGUCGAGGGGCAGCAUUGGAGUAGCAAUACUCAGAUGGCGACCGGCGCACGGGUGAGUAACACGUAUCCAACCUGCCGCUUACUCGGGGAUAGCCUUUCGAAAGAAAGAUUAAUACCCGAUGGUAUAAAGAGUUCGCAUGUUCUCUUUAUUAAAGAAUUUCGGUAAGCGAUGGGGAUGCGUUCCAUUAGAUAGUUGGCGGGUAACGGCCCACCAAGUCUACGAUGGAUAGGGGUUCUGAGAGGAAGGUCCCCCACAUUGGAACUGAGACACGGUCCAAACUCCUACGGGAGGCAGCAGUGAGGAAUAUUGGUCAAUGGACGAGAGUCUGAACCAGCCAAAGUAGCGUGAAGGAUGACUGCCCUAUGGGUUGUAAACUUCUUUUAUAAGGGAAUAAAGUGAGGGACGUGUCCCUUUUUGUAUGUACCUUAUGAAUAAGGAUCGGCUAACUCCGUGCCAGCCGCCGC